GGGUUGUGAGGUUAAGCGACUAAGCGUACACGGUGGAUGCCCUGGCAGUCAGAGGCGAUGAAGGACGUGCUAAUCUGCGAUAAGCGUCGGUAAGGUGAUAUGAACCGUUAUAACCGGCGAUUUCCGAAUGGGGAAACCCAGUGUGAUUCGUCACACUAUCAUUAACUGAAUCCAUAGGUUAAUGAGGCGAACCGGGGGAACUGAAACAUCUAAGUACCCCGAGGAAAAGAAAUCAACCGAGAUUCCCCCAGUAGCGGCGAGCGAACGGGGAGCAGCCCAGAGCCUGAAUCAGUGUGUGUGUUAGUGGAAGCGUCUGGAAAGGCGCGCGAUACAGGGUGACAGCCCCGUACACAAAAAUGCACAUGCUGUGAGCUCGAUGAGUAGGGCGGGACACGUGGUAUCCUGUCUGAAUAUGGGGGGACCAUCCUCCAAGGCUAAAUACUCCUGACUGACCGAUAGUGAACCAGUACCGUGAGGGAAAGGCGAAAAGAACCCCGGCGAGGGGAGUGAAAAAGAACCUGAAACCGUGUACGUACAAGCAGUGGGAGCACAGAGCAAUCUGUGUGACUGCGUACCUUUUGUAUAAUGGGUCAGCGACUUAUAUUCUGUAGCAAGGUUAACCGAAUAGGGGAGCCGAAGGGAAACCGAGUCUUAACUGGGCGUUAAGUUGCAGGGUAUAGACCCGAAACCCGGUGAUCUAGCCAUGGGCAGGUUGAAGGUUGGGUAACACUAACUGGAGGACCGAACCGACUAAUGUUGAAAAAUUAGCGGAUGACUUGUGGCUGGGGGUGAAAGGCCAAUCAAACCGGGAGAUAGCUGGUUCUCCCCGAAAGCUAUUUAGGUAGCGCCUCGUGAAUUCAUCUCCGGGGGUAGAGCACUGUUUCGGCAAGGGGGUCAUCCCGACUUACCAACCCGAUGCAAACUGCGAAUACCGGAGAAUGUUAUCACGGGAGACACACGGCGGGUGCUAACGUCCGUCGUGAAGAGGGAAACAACCCAGACCGCCAGCUAAGGUCCCAAAGUCAUGGUUAAGUGGGAAACGAUGUGGGAAGGCCCAGACAGCCAGGAUGUUGGCUUAGAAGCAGCCAUCAUUUAAAGAAAGCGUAAUAGCUCACUGGUCGAGUCGGCCUGCGCGGAAGAUGUAACGGGGCUAAACCAUGCACCGAAGCUGCGGCAGCGACGCUUAUGCGUUGUUGGGUAGGGGAGCGUUCUGUAAGCCUGCGAAGGUGUGCUGUGAGGCAUGCUGGAGGUAUCAGAAGUGCGAAUGCUGACAUAAGUAACGAUAAAGCGGGUGAAAAGCCCGCUCGCCGGAAGACCAAGGGUUCCUGUCCAACGUUAAUCGGGGCAGGGUGAGUCGACCCCUAAGGCGAGGCCGAAAGGCGUAGUCGAUGGGAAACAGGUUAAUAUUCCUGUACUUGGUGUUACUGCGAAGGGGGGACGGAGAAGGCUAUGUUGGCCGGGCGACGGUUGUCCCGGUUUAAGCGUGUAGGCUGGUUUUCCAGGCAAAUCCGGAAAAUCAAGGCUGAGGCGUGAUGACGAGGCACUACGGUGCUGAAGCAACAAAUGCCCUGCUUCCAGGAAAAGCCUCUAAGCAUCAGGUAACAUCAAAUCGUACCCCAAACCGACACAGGUGGUCAGGUAGAGAAUACCAAGGCGCUUGAGAGAACUCGGGUGAAGGAACUAGGCAAAAUGGUGCCGUAACUUCGGGAGAAGGCACGCUGAUAUGUAGGUGAAGUCCCUCGCGGAUGGAGCUGAAAUCAGUCGAAGAUACCAGCUGGCUGCAACUGUUUAUUAAAAACACAGCACUGUGCAAACACGAAAGUGGACGUAUACGGUGUGACGCCUGCCCGGUGCCGGAAGGUUAAUUGAUGGGGUCAGCGCAAGCGAAGCUCUUGAUCGAAGCCCCGGUAAACGGCGGCCGUAACUAUAACGGUCCUAAGGUAGCGAAAUUCCUUGUCGGGUAAGUUCCGACCUGCACGAAUGGCGUAAUGAUGGCCAGGCUGUCUCCACCCGAGACUCAGUGAAAUUGAACUCGCUGUGAAGAUGCAGUGUACCCGCGGCAAGACGGAAAGACCCCGUGAACCUUUACUAUAGCUUGACACUGAACAUUGAGCCUUGAUGUGUAGGAUAGGUGGGAGGCUUUGAAGUGUGGACGCCAGUCUGCAUGGAGCCGACCUUGAAAUACCACCCUUUAAUGUUUGAUGUUCUAACGUGGACCCGUAAUCCGGGUUGCGGACAGUGUCUGGUGGGUAGUUUGACUGGGGCGGUCUCCUCCUAAAGAGUAACGGAGGAGCACGAAGGUUGGCUAAUCCUGGUCGGACAUCAGGAGGUUAGUGCAAUGGCAUAAGCCAGCUUGACUGCGAGCGUGACGGCGCGAGCAGGUGCGAAAGCAGGUCAUAGUGAUCCGGUGGUUCUGAAUGGAAGGGCCAUCGCUCAACGGAUAAAAGGUACUCCGGGGAUAACAGGCUGAUACCGCCCAAGAGUUCAUAUCGACGGCGGUGUUUGGCACCUCGAUGUCGGCUCAUCACAUCCUGGGGCUGAAGUAGGUCCCAAGGGUAUGGCUGUUCGCCAUUUAAAGUGGUACGCGAGCUGGGUUUAGAACGUCGUGAGACAGUUCGGUCCCUAUCUGCCGUGGGCGCUGGAGAACUGAGGGGGGCUGCUCCUAGUACGAGAGGACCGGAGUGGACGCAUCACUGGUGUUCGGGUUGUCAUGCCAAUGGCACUGCCCGGUAGCUAAAUGCGGAAGAGAUAAGUGCUGAAAGCAUCUAAGCACGAAACUUGCCCCGAGAUGAGUUCUCCCUGACCCUUUAAGGGUCCUGAAGGAACGUUGAAGACGACGACGUUGAUAGGCCGGGUGUGUAAGCGCAGCGAUGCGUUGAGCUAACCGGUACUAAUGAACCGUGAGGCUUAACCUUACAACGCCGAAGGUGUUU
rnacentral:rRNA from 1 species